GGGGUUAUAUUUAAUAAUAAUAUUUGAUUUGCAAUCAAAAGGUAUCUUAAAUAAUUCAAGAUUAACCUUA
rnacentral:tRNA from 1 species